rnacentral:rRNA from 1 species
UCCAGACUCCUACGGGAGGCAGCAGUGGGGAAUAUUGCACAAUGGGGGGAACCCUGAUGCAGCGACGCCGCGUGGGUGAAGGAGCACCUCGGUGCGUAAAGCCCUAUCGGCAGGGAAGAAACAGACGGUACCUGACUAAGAAGCCCCGGCUAACUACGUGCCAGCAGCCGCGGUAAUACGUAGGGGGCAAGCGUUAUCCGGAUUCACUGGGUGUAAAGGGAGCGUAGACGGCGACGCAAGUCUGGAGUGAAAGCCCGGGGCCCAACCCCGGGACUGCUCUGGAAACUGUACGGCUGGAGUGCAGGAGAGGUAAGUGGAAUUCCUAGUGUAGCGGUGAAAUGCGUAGAUAUUAGGAGGAACACCAGUGGCGAAGGCGGCUUGCUGGACGAUGACUGACGUUGAGGCUCGAAAGCGUGGGGAGCAAACAGGAUUAGAUACCCCAGUA